rnacentral:rRNA from 1 species
UUUUGGACAAUGGGCGCAAGCCUGAUCCAGCCAUUCCGCGUGAGUGAAGAAGGCCUUCGGGUUGUAAAGCUCUUUCGCAAGGGACGAAAACUUACUUUCUAAUAAAGAGUGAGGUUGACGGUACCUUGAUAAGAAGCACCGGCUAACUACGUGCCAGCAGCCGCGGUAAUAGGUAGGGUGCAAGCGUUAAUCGGAAUUACUGGGCGUAAAGCGUGCGCAGGCGGUUUUGUAAGACAGGCGUGAAAUCCCCGGGCUUAACCUGGGAAUGGCCCCUGUGACUGCAAAGCUGGAGUGCGGCAGAGGGGGAUGGAAUUCCGCGUGUAGCAGUGAAAUGCGUAGAUAUGCGGAGGAACACCGACGGCGAAGGCAAUCCCCUGGGCCUGCACUACGCUCAGCAGAAA